rnacentral:tmRNA from 1 species
UCAAGCAGCUUGUUUUUCCGAUGGCCUGCCCCGAUAAUACGGUCAUAGUUGUAAUUCCGGCGAACUGGAGACGUUUUGGACAGGGGUUCGAUUCCCCUCACCUCCACCUAAGGAUGUUAGCGGCAUAGCAGUCUUAGGUGGGGGUGCACUGGCUUCGACAGGGCGAACAAAGGUGAGCAGGCAACUCGUCAGGCGAUCGACGUUAAUGAAGCAAAUCUCUAAACGCCAACGAUGAGCGUUUCGCACUGGCCGCUUAAGGCCUAUGCCGAGGCUGCUUGAGCCUUGUAACCAAAGAAAAGCCGACGGGGACUCUCACGAGUCCCCGCCGUCA